UGAGAGAGAAGCUACUGUAGCCCGAAUCUAAGAAAGGUAUUAAAAGGAGAAGGUAGCAGCUUACCAGAGGGUAGGUGAUAUGCCUGCUUCCUUUAGCAGAAGACUGCUGUAAGAGACCAGUGCUCUAAAUAAACACGUCUGUUUCACCAGGACGGAUUGAUAACAGUUCCAGUUUCUAUUUCAUACACACAUAUAUUUGAUGUUAGAACACUUAUUGUGGGUGUUUGAAUUAAACAGUGUUUGCCGUACCUGAAGGAAUCAGUGGCGACUGCAGUAUACACGAUGCAGACUUCGAGGCAUCUGAAAUACUCCUGUCAGAUGAGGGAACAUUACUUGUGCAUGGAUGCACAAGAAGUUUGGCACUCUGAGUUACAGAGAUAUUGUCAUCCAUGCUCUGGCUGCUGAGAGAGUAUAGACACCCAGAACUUCCAUCUUGGAAAAAAAAAAAGG